rnacentral:rRNA from 1 species
CUCCUCCGGCUGCAGGACGUGGUCCGACCGUGUGCACUUUCCGCGGGCAGAGCGCCACGACCGGUUCUCGGGCGGUCAGAAGGCGGCGGGGAUGGUAGGUGUGCGCUUCGGCGCGCACUGGUAUAGCCCCGCCUGUCCCGAUCCGCUCGGGGACCGAGGAGCCGCCGUCGGUGAUAUGGGCCGCCUCGCCCUCCUGGGAUGCUCGACUGGCAGAGACUGGGCAACCGUGUCUGCCGACCGCUUCCCGGGACGGACAGGGGUGGGCCCCACCGGCACAGGGUCGGUGGCGAAUCGGUCGGCCCUCCACCCGACCCGUCUUGAAACACGGACCAAGGAGUCUAACAUGCGCGCGAGUCGUUGGGUCGUACGAAACCCGAAGGCGAAGUGAAAGCGAGGGCCGGUCUCUGGCUGGCUCAGGUGGGAUCCCUCCACCCCUUUGCAGUGGGGGGCGCACCACCGGCCCGUCUCGUCCGCGCUGUCGGUGAGGCGGAGCAUGAGCGUGCACGUUGGGACCCGAAAGAUGGUGAACUAUGCCUGAGUAGGACGAAGCCAGAGGAAACUCUGGUGGAGGUCCGCAGCGAUUCUGACGUGCAAAUCGAUCGUCAAACUUGGGUAUAGGGGCGAAAGA